rnacentral:rRNA from 1 species
GAAACCAACUGGGAUUACCUUAGUAACGGCGAGUGAAGCGGUAAAAGCUCAAAUUUGAAAUCUGGUACUUUCAGUGCCCGAGUUGUAAUUUGUAGAAUUUGUCUUUGAUUAGGUCCUUGUCUAUGUUCCUUGGAACAGGACGUCAUAGAGGGUGAGAAUCCCGUUUGGCGAGGAUACCUUUUCUCUGUAAGACUUUUUCGAAGAGUCGAGUUGUUUGGGAAUGCAGCUCAAAGUGGGUGGUAAAUUCCAUCUAAAGCUAAAUAUUGGCGAGAGACCGAUAGCGAACAAGUACAGUGAUGGAAAGAUGAAAGAACUUUGAAAAGAGAGUGAAAAAGUACGUGAAAUUGUUGAAAGGGAAGGGCAUUUGAUCAGACAUGGUGUUUUUUGCAUGCACUCGCCUCUCGUGGGCUUGGGCCUCUCAAAAAUUUCACUGGGCCAACAUCAAUUUUGGCGGCAGGAAAAAAUCUUUUGGAAUGUAGCUACCUCGGUAGUGUUAUAGCCUUUUGAAAUACUGUCAGCUGGGAUUGG